rnacentral:ncRNA from 1 species
AGGGCAAACAUACAGAAAUGUAUGGACGCAAAGCCAGGAGUCUACGGGUAGUUAUUGAGGAAAGUAAGUUGUUAGUAUAAUAAAUACCUAAGAUAGUUCGGUUGC